CGCGUAGGCGGAAGAAUUAGUCAGAUGUGAAAUCCCGGGGCUUAACCCCGGAACUGCAUUUGAAACUGUUUUCUAGAGGAUAGACGGAGAAAACGGAAUUCCACGUGUAGCGGUGAAAUGCGUAGAUAUGUGGAAGAACACCAGUGGCGAAGGCGGUUUUCUAGUUUAUACCUGACGCUAAGGCGCGAAAGCAAGGGGAGCGAACA
rnacentral:rRNA from 1 species